GAUGAACGCUGGCGGCGUGCCUAAUACAUGCAAGUCGAGCGAACAGACGAGGAGCUUGCUCCUUUGACGUUAGCGGCGGACGGGUGAGUAACACGUGGAUAACCUACCUAUAAGACUGGGAUAACUUCGGGAAACCGGAGCUAAUACCGGAUAACAUGUUGAACCGCAUGGUUCAACAGUGAAAGACGGUCUUGCUGUCACUUAUAGAUGGAUCCGCGCCGCAUUAGCUAGUUGGUAAGGUAACGGCUUACCAAGGCAAUGAUGCGUAGCCGACCUGAGAGGGUGAUCGGCCACACUGGAACUGAGACACGGUCCAGACUCCUACGGGAGGCAGCAGUAGGGAAUCUUCCGCAAUGGGCGAAAGCCUGACGGAGCAACGCCGCGUGAGUGAAGAAGGUCUUCGGAUCGUAAAACUCUGUUAUUAGGGAAGAACAAAUGUGUAAGUAACUAUGCACGUCUUGACGGUACCUAAUCAGAAAGCCACGGCUAACUACGUGCCAGCAGCCGCGGUAAUACGUAGGUGGCAAGCGUUAUCCGGAAUUAUUGGGCGUAAAGCGCGCGUAGGCGGUUUUUUAAGUCUGAUGUGAAAGCCCACGGCUCAACCGUGGAGGGUCAUUGGAAACUGGAAAACUUGAGUGCAGAAGAGGAAAGUGGAAUUCCAUGUGUAGCGGUGAAAUGCGCAGAGAUAUGGAGGAACACCAGUGGCGAAGGCGACUUUCUGGUCUGUAACUGACGCUGAUGUGCGGAAGCGUGGGGAUCAAACAGGAUUAGGUACCCUGGUAGUCCACGCCGUAAACGAUGAGUGCUAAGUGUUAGGGGGUUUCCGCCCCUUAGUGCUGCAGCUAACGCAUUAAGCACUCCGCCUGGGGAGUACGACCGCAAGGUUGAAACUCAAAGGAAUUGACGGGGACCCGCACAAGCGGUGGAGCAUGUGGUUUAAUUCGAAGCAACGCGAAGAACCUUACCAAAUCUUGACAUCCUCUGACCCCUCUAGAGAUAGAGUUUUCCCCUUCGGGGGACAGAGUGACAGGUGGUGCAUGGUUGUCGUCAGCUCGUGUCGUGAGAUGUUGGGUUAAGUCCCGCAACGAGCGCAACCCUUAAGCUUAGUUGCCAUCAUUAAGUUGGGCACUCUAAGUUGACUGCCGGUGACAAACCGGAGGAAGGUGGGGAUGACGUCAAAUCAUCAUGCCCCUUAUGAUUUGGGCUACACACGUGCUACAAUGGACAAUACAAAGGGUAGCGAAACCGCGAGGUCAAGCAAAUCCCAUAAAGUUGUUCUCAGUUCGGAUUGUAGUCUGCAACUCGACUACAUGAAGCUGGAAUCGCUAGUAAUCGUAGAUCAGCAUGUUACGGUGAAUACGUUCCCGGGUCUUGUACACACCGCCCGUCACACCACGAGAGUUUGUAACACCCGAAGCCGGUGGAGUAACCUUUUGGAGCUAGCCGCCGAAGGUGGGACAAAUGAUUGGGGUGAAGUCGUAACAAGGUAGCCGUAUCGGAAGG
rnacentral:rRNA from 1 species